rnacentral:rRNA from 1 species
AACGUAGGUCACAAGCGUUGUCCGGAAUUACUGGGUGUAAAGGGAGCGCAGGCGGGAAGACAAGUUGGAAGUGAAAUCUAUGGGCUCAACCUAUAAACUGCUUUCAAAACUGUUUUUCUUGAGUAGUGCAGAGGUAGGCGGAAUUCCCGGUGUAGCGGUGGAAUGCGUAGAUAUCGGGAGGAACACCAGUGGCGAAGGCGGCCUACUGGGCACCAACUGACGCUGAGGCUCGAAAGUGUGGGUAGCAAACAGG